rnacentral:rRNA from 1 species
UACGGGGGGAGCAAACGUUGUUCGGAAUUACUGGGCGUAAAGCGCACGCAGGUGGCUGAGUCAGUCGAUUGUGAAAGCCCUGGGCUUAACCUGGGAAUUGCAGUCGAUACUACUCGGCUCGAGUAUGGGAGAGGGCAGUGGAAUUCCCGGUGUAGCGGUGAAAUGCGUAGAUAUCGGGAGGAACAUCAGUGGCGAAGGCGGCUGCCUGGCCCAAUACUGACACUCAGGUGCGACAGCGUGGGGAGCAAACAGG